GAUGAACGCUGGCGGCGUGCCUAAUACAUGCAAGUCGAGCGAACAGAUGAGGAGCUUGCUCCUCUGACGUUAGCGGCGGACGGGUGAGUAACACGUGGAUAACCUACCUAUAAGACUGGGAUAACUUCGGGAAACCGGAGCUAAUACCGGAUAAUAUAUUGAACCGCAUGGUUCAAUAGUGAAAGACGGUUUUGCUGUCACUUAUAGAUGGAUCCGCGCCGCAUUAGCUAGUUGGUAAGGUAACGGCUUACCAAGGCAACGAUGCGUAGCCGACCUGAGAGGGUGAUCGGCCACACUGGAACUGAGACACGGUCCAGACUCCUACGGGAGGCAGCAGUAGGGAAUCUUCCGCAAUGGGCGAAAGCUUGACGGAGCAACGCCGCGUGAGUGGUGAAGGUCUUCGGAUCGUAAAACUCUGUUAUUAGGGAAGAACAAAUGUGUAAGUAACUAUGCACGUCUUGACGGUACCUAAUCAGGAAGCCACGGCUAACUACGUG
rnacentral:rRNA from 1 species